AGUGAACGCUGGCGGUAGGCCUAACACAUGCAAGUCGAACGGCCGCACAGUAAGAGCUUGCUCUUACGGGUGGCGAGUGGCGGACGGGUGAGGAAUACAUCGGAAUCUACUUUUUCGUGGGGGAUAACGUAGGGAAACUUACGCUAAUACCGCAUACGACCUACGGGUGAAAGCAGGGGAUCUUCGGACCUUGCGCGAUUGAAUGAGCCGGUGUCGGAUUAGCUAGUUGGCGGGGUAAAGGCCCACCAAGGCGACGAUCCGUAGCUGGUCUGAGAGGAUGAUCAGCCACACUGGAACUGAGACACGGUCCAGACUCCUACGGGAGGCAGCAGUGGGGAAUAUUGGACAAUGGGCGCAAGCCUGAUCCAGCCAUACCGCGUGGGUGAAGAAGGCCUUCGGGUUGUAAAGCCCUUUUGUUGGGAAAGAAAAGCAGCAGGUUAAUACCCCGCUGUUCUGACGGUACCCAAAGAAUAAGCACCGGCUAACUUCGUG
rnacentral:rRNA from 1 species